rnacentral:tRNA from 1 species
GCGCCCGUAGCUCAGGUGGAUAGAGCACCAGAUUCCUAAUCUGGGUGCCGCAGGUUCAAAUCCUGCCGGGCGCA